rnacentral:rRNA from 1 species
CCUACGGGUGGCAGCAGUGGGGAAUGUUGGACAAUGGGCGCAAGCCUGAUCCAGCUAUUCCGCGUGUGGGAAGACGGCCUUCGGGUUGUAAACCACUUGUGUAGAGAACGAAAAGUCUAUUGAUAAUACCGAUAGACGAUGACGGUACUCGAAGAAGAAGCACCGGCUAACUACGUGCCAGCAGCCGCGGUAAUACGUAGGGUGCGAGCGUUAAUCGGAAUUACGGGGCGUAAAGGGUGGGCAGGUGGUUUGGCAAGAUGGAUGUGAAAGCCCCGGGCUUAACCUGGGAAAGGCAUACCUGACUGCCAGACUAGAGUGCGUCAGAGGGGGGUGGAAUUCCAAUUGUAGCAGU